GUGGGUCAACUCUCCCCGAGUCAGUGAACUUCUGCCAGCAUUUGGUUCAGUGAGCACGUAUGCUUCACAGGAAUAACCACAGUGAUGAAACUGAAGAAGUUGUUCUCCUGUUGGUGAAAGUCAAGGCUCUGCGUAUUGCUGAAGAGCUCACUGAAGAGUGCAAACGGGAACAUCUUAAAUCUGUGAUCAGGAAAUAAGGAUUUCUUUGAAGCAGCAGUUCUUUUACUGAAACAAGCCUGAUGCUCAUUCUAAAAAAGUGGUAACGUUUAAUGAGUGGACUGCCUACAGUUGUUUUACUGUGAAAUAUUUUGGUUUUUUUUUUUCCAGAUGUCUUCUGAUGCCAUCUACUCCUAGAUAGAAUCACAAUGGUCAGUGUGAAGUGCAGGUGUUCUGAAAUAUAUGACGAAGCCUCACUGCUUUGUUCUUUUGGGAAGGAUGACUGCAGUAAGUGCCUGUAACGUUACCACUGCUGGUGAGCAGACAACUUCAUGAGCUGUUUUCAGUACCACACCAAAUCACUCUGACUCGGG
ensembl:lncRNA